UGCAGUGCCUCUGCCAGUGAAAAGGGAGCUUGGGGAAGCCGUGUCUGGCCCUCCCAAGCUCCAUUUUUGCUGGCAGAGGGCUGCAG
rnacentral:pre_miRNA from 1 species